rnacentral:rRNA from 1 species
UGGGGAAUCUUAGGCAAUGGGGGCAACCCUGAUCUAGCCAUGCCGCGUGAGUGAUGAAGGCCUUAGGGUUGUAAAGCUCUUUCAGCUGGGAAGAUAAUGACGGUACCAGCAGAAGAAGCCCCGGCUAACUCCGUGCCAGCAGCCGCGGUAAUACGGAGGGGGCUAGCGUUGUUCGGAAUUACUGGGCGUAAAGCGCACGUAGGCGGACUGGAAAGUCAGAGGUGAAAUCCCAGGGCUCAACCUUGGAACUGCCUUUGAAACUAUCAGUCUGGAGUUCGAGAGAGGUGAGUGGAAUUCCGAGUGUAGAGGUGAAAUUCGUAGAUAUUCGGAGGAACACCAGUGGCGAAGGCGGCUCACUGGCUCGAUACUGACGCUGAGGUGCGAAAGCGUGGGGGGCAAACAGGAUUAGAUACCCUGGUAGUCCACGCCGUAAACGAUGAAUGCCAGACGUCGGCAAGUAUGCUUGUCGGUGUCACACCUAACGGAUUAAGCAUUCCGCCUGGGGGAGUACGGUCGCAAGAUUAAAACUCAAAUGAAUUGACGGGGUCAUAGCUGUUUCCU